rnacentral:tRNA from 2 species
GGGUCCAUAGCUCAGCGGUUAGAGCAUCCGGCUCAUAACCGGCAGGUCCCUGGUUCGAAUCCAGGUGGGCCCA